CACACACACCCCCAAACCCCCCCUGACAACACCCCCCUUCUUACUAGGAACAGAAGCAGGAUGAACCAGAAACUCCUAAACGGGCCUUUUUACUGCUUUCUCCCUGUCACCAUAGUAGACUGGCUUCUCUGGUUUCCCUUUGACAUGUGGUUGUAUGGAGUGCUAAUUUCUUGUUUCUUUUUUUUGCUAAGCCUGCGGCUUUUCCUGGUUUUUUCCUUUGAAUAUCUGUGUCUCAGUGGAGUGUGUCUCUGUGUGUGGUUUGUUGUCACUGAGGUGUCGUGUCCCCUGCCCUUUGGUCAUAGCAUCCAAAGUGAGGGGAGAAAGAUGGGCCUGGAGGUAACUGGUGUUCUUAGUGCCUCCAUCAGUUGCAAAUGAUCUCAGCAGCAGACGUCAGGUGUGGUGAUCACGGGCCAUGAAUCCUUCCUCUCCUGGCCUCAAAUGUUGUUUCAGCUUUGCAGUAGACAAAGGCAGCAGGUUUGGAGUCACAUUAUACAUCUAAUUUACACUGUAUCUAUUGCAUGUCAUUGUGGAAAAAACUGUUAAUUCAUUGACCAUUCUAAUUAGAUAAUUGAUACAUGUUUGGGCAACAACAAUUUGGUUUAAGUCUCUUAAAUAUGAGCAUUGAACUGUCUUAUAUCAUUCAAAAUUAAACAUGUUUGGAUUUUUGCCCACUGGUUCGACCAAACACGCAUUUAAAAACAUUGCUUUAGGAAUUCUGCAUUAUUUUGUUGAUAUCUUGAGAAUAAUUGAGUUAAUCAAGACAUGUGCAGAUGAAUUUCUAAUAUAACCAAAGGUUAGUUGCAGCCCAACUAAUGCUAUUUAUAGUCAAGUUUGAUGUUGAAAUGAGCUAUUCAUGUCAAACGAUAGAAAAUAUCACUAUUUUUAUUGAUGUCAUUUGUCAAGUAAAAAUGUUACAUUUGGCUAUGUCUGACAAAAAGUCAUUAUAUAAAUAAACAAACAUUGUUAUUUUUGUCUGUCCCUUAAACCAGAUAUGGUAGACUAGAUUUAUGUUUUUUUUUUAUAUAUUCCCUUUUAAAUUAUCCGACUUCAUUUGUCAAGUACUCUAAAGCAGACUCUGGAAUUUGAUCUAUUAACCAUUUCUCAAUUGAUUUCCCAGAAAUUGUAUGAUAUUACGAUAUACCUAUGAAAUGUAAAUAAAUUAAAAGAAUAUGAAAGACUAUUUUACCUGUACAGUAAAAAAACAACAGCUUUAUUUCACACAGCCGGGCUCCAUUCUGCUGUGAAGCUCUUUAUUGGCCCCCAGACGGCUCCGCUCUAUGAGAGAAGCUCUUGGACUGUGUGGUGGAGCUGCUGCAUUCUGCACUCGUGGCUCAGCUCUGCUUUUCCCUUAAUGUGCCUUUAAAAUGACUGCUUGUGGAGCCCCUUUGCUUCAAAAUCAAAUUUAUAUAUAGGCCUUUUAUAUUUUUGGAUACUUUUAUUCAUUCAUUUACAUUUAUCACAUAAUAAUGUGAUGUUUUUUUUUUUUCUUUAUUUCAUGUUAAUAGAAUCUAUUUUAUCCAAUGAAACCAUACCUUAAAAGACGUCACUCUGGUGGCCACUUUUUUUAAUUAAUUAAAAAUAAAGUUGUUAGAAAUAACAGACAUUACUUUCAAUUCUGCCAUAGAGGUCAGCAGUAUGACAAGAUACUAUAGGAGGUAAU
ensembl:lncRNA